rnacentral:rRNA from 1 species
CGGGGUGAGUAAUGCUUGGGAAUCUGGCUUAUGGAGGGGGAUAACUACGGGAAACUGUAGCUAAUACCGCGUAAUAUCGAAAGAUUGAAGUGUGGGACCUUCGGGCCACAUGCCAUAGGAUGAGCCCAAGUGGGAUUAGGUAGUUGGUGAGGUAAAGGCUCACCAAGCCGACGAUCUCUAGCUGGUCUGAGAGGAUGACCAGCCACACUGGGACUGAGACACGGCCCAG